AUCCAGAUGACGAGUCCCAAAUAGGACGAAAUGUGCAUCCUGACUGAAU
rnacentral:hammerhead_ribozyme from 1 species